AGCGAACGCUGGCGGUAGGCCUAACACAUGCAAGUCGAACGGCAGCACAGGAGAGCUUGCUCUCUGGGUGGCGAGUGGCGGACGGGUGAGGAAUACAUCGGAAUCUACUCUGUCGUGGGGGAUAACGUAGGGAAACUUACGCUAAUACCGCAUACGACCUACGGGUGAAAGCAGGGGACCUUCGGGCCUUGCGCGAUUGAAUGAGCCGAUGUCGGAUUAGCUAGUUGGCGGGGUAAAGGCCCACCAAGGCGACGAUCCGUAGCUGGUCUGAGAGGAUGAUCAGCCACACUGGAACUGAGACACGGUCCAGACUCCUACGGGAGGCAGCAGUGGGGAAUAUUGGACAAUGGGCGCAAGCCUGAUCCAGCCAUACCGCGUAGGUGAAGAAGGCCUUCGAGUUGUAAAGCCCUUUUGUUGGGAAAGAAAUCCAGCUGGCUAAUACCCGGUUGGGAUGACGGUACCCAAAGAAUAAGCACCGGCUAACUUCGUGCCAGCCGCCGCGGUAA
rnacentral:rRNA from 1 species